rnacentral:rRNA from 1 species
GACGAACGCUGGCGGCGUGCUUAACACAUGCAAGUCGAACGGAAAGGCUCUGUUCUUGCGGGGUGCUCGAGUGGCGAACGGGUGUGUAAAAUGUGAGUAAACUGUCCUUGACUUUGGGAUAAAUUACGGAAACUGGGGCUAUAACCGGAUAGGAGAUCUUGCAGCACGGUGGGGGUUGGAAAGUUUGGGCGGUUGGGGAUGGACUCGCGGCUUAUCAGCUUGUUGGUGGGGUAGUGGCUUACCAAGGCAUUGACGGGUAGCCGGCCUGAGAGGGUGACCGGCCACAUUGGGACUGAGAUACGGCCCAGACUCCUACGGGAGGCAGCAGUGGGGAAUAUUGCACAAUGGGCGGAAGCCUGAUGCAGCAACGCCGCGUGAGGGAUGACGGCCUUCGGGUUGUAAACCGCUUUCGCCUGGGACGAAGCGAGAGUGACGGUAAUGGGUAAAGAAGCACCGGCUAACUACGUG